AUUCAUAUAGUUUAAUUAAAACACUUCAUUUUCAAUGAAGAAAUAAUUUCUUAAUUUAUGAAUA
rnacentral:tRNA from 1 species